GACAGAGGGUGCAAACGUUGUUCGGAAUUACUGGGCGUAAAGCGCGUGUAGGCGGCUAUGUAAGCCGGGCGUGAAAUCCCACGGCUCAACCGUGGAAGUGCACCCGAAACUGCGUAGCUAGAGUCCUGGAGAGGAAGGUGGAAUGCUUGGUGUAGAGGUGAAAUUCGUAGAUAUCAAGCGGAACACCGGUGGCGAAGGCGGCCUUCUGGACAGUGACUGACGCUGAGACGCGAAAGCGUGGGGAGCAAACAGG
rnacentral:rRNA from 1 species